GUUCAAAAUUUGAGUCUCUGCGAUUUCCGAAUGGGGAAACCCAACUGCACAAGCAGUUACUGUUAACUGAAUACAUAGGUUAACAGAGCAAACCGGGGGAACUGAAACAUCUAAGUACCCCGAGGAGAAGAAAUCAACCGAGAUUCCGGUAGUAGCGGCGAGCGAACCUGGAUUAGCCCUUAAGCACUCGUUGAAGUAGGUGAACAAGCUGGAAAGCUUGGCGAUACAGGGUGAUAGCCCCGUAACCGACGCUUCAUCGAGCGUGAAAUCGAGUAGGGCGGGACACGUGAUAUCCUGUCUGAAUAUGGGGGGACCAUCCUCCAAGGCUAAAUACUCCUGACUGACCGAUAGUGAACCAGUACCGUGAGGGAAAGGCGAAAAGAACCCCUGUGAGGGGAGUGAAAUAGAACCUGAAACCGUGUACGUACAAGCAGUAGGAGCACCUUCGUGGUGUGACUGCGUACCUUUUGUAUAAUGGGUCAGCGACUUAUAUUCAGUGGCAAGGUUAACCGUAUAGGGGAGCCGUAGCGAAAGCGAGUCUUAACUGGGCGCUCAGUCUCUGGAUAUAGACCCGAAACCGGGUGAUCUAGCCAUGGGCAGGUUGAAGGUUGAGUAACAUCAACUGGAGGACCGAACCGACUAAUGUUGAAAAAUUAGCGGAUGACUUGUGGCUAGGGGUGAAAGGCCAAUCAAACUCGGAGAUAGCUGGUUCUCCCCGAAAGCUAUUUAGGUAGCGCCUCGGACGAAUACUACUGGGGGUAGAGCACUGUUAAGGCUAGGGGGUCAUCCCGACUUACCAACCCUUUGCAAACUCCGAAUACCAGUAAGUACUAUCCGGGAGACACACGGCGGGUGCUAACGUCCGUCGUGGAGAGGGAAACAACCCAGACCGCCAGCUAAGGUCCCAAAGUAUUGCUAAGUGGGAAACGAUGUGGGAAGGCUCAGACAGCUAGGAUGUUGGCUUAGAAGCAGCCAUCAUUUAAAGAAAGCGUAAUAGCUCACUAGUCGAGUCGGCCUGCGCGGAAGAUGUAACGGGGCUAAGCAAUACACCGAAGCUGCGGCAAUGCCUUUUAGGUAUUGGGUAGGGGAGCGUUCUGUAAGCCGUUGAAGGUGGUCUGUAAGGGCUGCUGGAGGUAUCAGAAGUGCGAAUGCUGACAUGAGUAACGACAAAGGGGGUGAAAAACCUCCUCGCCGGAAGACCAAGGGUUCCUGUCCAACGUUAAUCGGGGCAGGGUGAGUCGACCCCUAAGGUGAGGCCGAAAGGCGUAAUCGAUGGGAAACGGGUUAAUAUUCCCGUACUUCUGACUAUUGCGAUGGGGGGACGGAGAAGGCUAGGUGGGCCAGGCGACGGUUGUCCUGGUUCAAGUGCGUAGGCUUAAGAGUUAGGUAAAUCCGGCUCUUUCUAAGGCUGAGACACGACGUCGAGCUGCUACGGCAGUGAAGUCAUUGAUGCCAUGCUUCCAGGAAAAGCCUCUAAGCUUCAGAUAGUCAGGAAUCGUACCCCAAACCGACACAGGUGGUCGGGUAGAGAAUACCAAGGCGCUUGAGAGAACUCGGGUGAAGGAACUAGGCAAAAUGGUACCGUAACUUCGGGAGAAGGUACGCUCUUGAUGGUGAAGUCCCUUGCGGAUGGAGCUGACGAGAGUCGCAGAUACCAGGUGGCUGCAACUGUUUAUUAAAAACACAGCACUGUGCAAAAUCGCAAGAUGACGUAUACGGUGUGACGCCUGCCCGGUGCCGGAAGGUUAAUUGAUGGGGUUAGCGCAAGCGAAGCUCUUGAUCGAAGCCCCGGUAAACGGCGGCCGUAACUAUAACGGUCCUAAGGUAGCGAAAUUCCUUGUCGGGUAAGUUCCGACCUGCACGAAUGGCGUAAUGAUGGCCACGCUGUCUCCACCCGAGACUCAGUGAAAUUGAAAUCGCUGUGAAGAUGCAGUGUACCCGCGGCUAGACGGAAAGACCCCGUGAACCUUUACUACAGCUUGGCACUGAACAUUGAACCUACAUGUGUAGGAUAGGUGGGAGGCUAUGAAGACGUGACGCUAGUUGCGUUGGAGCCGUCCUUGAAAUACCACCCUUGUAUGUUUGAUGUUCUAACUUAGACCCGUUAUCCGGGUUGAGGACAGUGCCUGGUGGGUAGUUUGACUGGGGCGGUCUCCUCCCAAAGAGUAACGGAGGAGCACGAAGGUGGGCUAAUCACGGUUGGACAUCGUGAGGUUAGUGCAAUGGCAUAAGCCCGCUUAACUGCGAGAAUGACGGUUCGAGCAGGUGCGAAAGCAGGUCAUAGUGAUCCGGUGGUUCUGUAUGGAAGGGCCAUCGCUCAACGGAUAAAAGGUACUCCGGGGAUAACAGGCUGAUACCGCCCAAGAGUUCAUAUCGACGGCGGUGUUUGGCACCUCGAUGUCGGCUCAUCACAUCCUGGGGCUGAAGUCGGUCCCAAGGGUAUGGCUGUUCGCCAUUUAAAGUGGUACGCGAGCUGGGUUUAGAACGUCGUGAGACAGUUCGGUCCCUAUCUGCCGUGGGCGUUGGAAGAUUGAAGGGGGCUGCUCCUAGUACGAGAGGACCGGAGUGGACGAACCUCUGGUGUUCGGGUUGUGUCGCCAGACGCAUUGCCCGGUAGCUAAGUUCGGAAUUGAUAAGCGCUGAAAGCAUCUAAGCGCGAAGCGAGCCCUGAGAUGAGUCUUCCC
rnacentral:rRNA from 1 species